rnacentral:lncRNA from 1 species
GAAAGAAAGGAGGCACUGGGAAUGCUGAGGGGCUCUGGCAAAUGGUGAUUAUCUAUCCAGAGCCCUUUCUGAAGCAUUGCUCUGCAGACCCGCCAGCCAGGGUUUUCAUUAAGUAGCAUUAAGUCAUAACCUUAAGUAAUAAAGCAAGCAUGCAUAGAAGGGCAAAGCCAGUCACUUCUCAGACCCCGAACCCCUCAGUGAAGGUUGGUGCAUGCAACGGGCUGGCCCUUUGGUGGAGACUGAAGAAAGAGUUUAUUGCAGAAACCAGUUACUCAAAGAGCUAUGCUGUUCUUAUGCCCUGUGAUGGAUCUACUGGGGAUAGAGAUAAGAGCCUGUCUGCCUGCCUCAGCCUGUGCACCUGAUCGUUCUUUUCCUGAAGCAACUUGUCAUGCCUUCACAGUGCACACCUGACCAGUUCCAAACCAAAAAGGGAUGUGCCUGGACGUGUGUGGAUAGAUGGCUGAGGGAGACAUUAUUGUUGUUGUUGAGCCUCCAUCAUCUCUCACCUGGACUGGUGCAGUCUUCUCCAAGGUAAAGAUGGCUAAUGGUCUCCCGCAUUCAUCCCCCUUUUUCCUUAGGAACAGAACUCCCGAUUAUUUUGAAGUGGGAGGGCACAUGGUAGCUCAGAAUACAGACCUGCAUUUGCCAGCCUCCCCUGGAGCUCUGGCCAAUAGGAAAUAAACAGAAGUGUCCUAUACGACUUCUAGGAAAUACACUUAAAAGGACAGAAUGGGUUCUUCUUUGACCUUUCCUUACAGCAGCUUGCUGGAAUGCAGGCGUGCUGGCUGGGACUGAACCACCCUCUGGGACUGUGAGGCAGCAAUGUUGGAUGGCGGGGAAGCAGGCUGGAAGAAAAUUUAAGGUCUCCAUUACCAGCCUCAAUCGGCCUAUCUCUAUACUUGGUUUACAUUAGAGAGAGAAGCAACUGUGUUACUGAAGUCAUUGUUAUUUGGGAAUUUUGGCCCCAUGCAGCUGAUCCUAAUUAGCUACAUCUCUGAUAUAGUUUCCUGCCCCUGCCCUUACCCAACCCCCUCAUUUUUUAUUUCCAACAUAGCAACCACAGUGGUUCUUUAGAAACUUGUCAGUCCCCCCCAGCUCAAACCCUCCUUUGGCUUCCCGCUCACUCUGACUAUAAGCCAAAAUCGAAUCAAAGCCAAGUCCCUGCAUGGCAUGCACCUUCCAUCUCCCCACCUCAUCUUCUCCCCCUUGUACCCUUGUUCACACCAAUUCAGCUCCAGUGCCCUGUUUGCUGUUCUCAGAGCAAGCUGUGUUUGCGCCUUUCCCAGGGCUGAGGGUUAGAGGUUAGCUGUUCUUGCAGUGGACGCUGACAGGGCUGGCUUUCUCUUUUCAUCCUAGUUUCUGCUCAAAUGUCACCUCAUCUGAGAGACCUUCCCUGACCCUCCUACCUAAAACAGCUCACACCUUCCCCAUCCCUCUCUAGCUGAGUGCCUUUUUUCUCUACACGUGAUAAGGACAGGAGACAGGGAAAUACUGAGAAGUGGGCGGUUCCCCAGCAAAGAUCCCACCCUCAAGCCUGGAAACCCGUGGCCCUAAAUGGGAACAGCCCUUCCUGUUUUCAAGCCCAAAAGUUGCCUUUUGGCCUGCUGUGCCCCCCUAUCCUGUACUUGUACAAACCCCAGACCCUAGGCUUCAGAAGCAGACGAGGGAACGAGCAGAAGAACAGAAGAACAGCAGAAUGGCAUGGCAGAGAGAAGAAAGGGACCAUCUGAACGCCAAGAGAAAUUCAGCUGGGGGAGGUCAGAGAGGAGAUAGACUGCAGGACAGCCAAGCUCCAGGGGAAGAUCAUCUUCCCACUCCAUCCCCUUUCCAGCUCCCCAUCCAUCCCGCUG